rnacentral:rRNA from 1 species
AUUGAACGCUGGCGGCAUGCUUUACACAUGCAAGUCGAGCGGCAGCGCGGGGGCAACUCUGGCGGCGAGCGGCGAACGGGUGAGGAAUACAUCGGAACGUACCCCGGAGUGGGGGAUAACGCCGCGAAAGCGGCGCUAAUACCGCAUAUGCUCUGCGGAGGAAAGUGGGGGACUCGCAAGGGCCUCACGCUCUGGGCGCGGCCGAUGUCCGAUUAGCUAGUUGGGAGGUAAUGGCUCACCAAGGCGACGAUCGGUAGCUGGUCUGAGAGGACGACCAGCCACACGGGAACUGAGACACGGUCCCGACUCCUACGGGAGGCAGCAGUGGGGAAUUUUCCGCAAUGGGCGAAAGCCUGACGGAGUGACGCCGCGUGGGGACGAAGGCC